UACAGAGGGGGCAAGCGUUGUUCGGAAUUACUGGGCGUAAAGGGCGCGUAGGCGGCCUUCUAAGUCGAACGUGAAAUCCCCGGGCUCAACCCGGGAACUGCGUCCGAUACUGGAAGGCUUGAAUCCGGGAGAGGGAUGCGGAAUUCCAGGUGUAGCGGUGAAAUGCGUAGAUAUCUGGAGGAACACCGGUGGCGAAGGCGGCAUCCUGGACCGGCAUUGACGCUGAGGCGCGAAGCC
rnacentral:rRNA from 1 species